rnacentral:lncRNA from 1 species
AGCUUCAAAGGGAUUUGAAGGGUGGUGACAGGCUCCAGCCCAGACUGCGCCUCGGAAUGCAGACGCUUCUCUGCCUAGAACCUGGCCCGGCCCUAUGGGAAAGCCCCGGUUCUCGGCGGCACUGAACUGGUUCAUAUUCUAAAGAGAGCAGGCACUGAGCAAAUGUUUGUUGAACUGAACCAAUCUGCUAGUUAUGGGGACAUGACCUCCACUUCAUGGUGUUGAACUAAACAAACACAUACUUCUCCAGACAAAUAUUAAAACUGGUGAACUUCAAAAUAACG